AGCCCAUUACUUGGCUGAUACAUCAGGUGAAUGUCUCCUUUCUUCCAACACAGUUAUAUGCUUUCUUUUGGGAGUUGCCCACUCUGUUAAAAGAGUAUGGAAUUUCCAGACAAAGAAGGAUCGUUUGGUCAUGGGCACAAGAGUAGCUUUACUCCUCUGCUAGACUUCCACACAAGCUCUCAAGAUCCAUUUGUAUUCCACCUGAUGUUCAAAUUCAGGCUCAGUCAUUGACUAUCUUUAUGAGGUUGACCAAGUUACUUU
rnacentral:snRNA from 1 species